AUUGAACGCUGGCGGCAUGCCUUACACAUGCAAGUCGAACGGUAACAGGUCUUCGGAUGCUGACGAGUUGCGAACGGGUGAGUAAUACAUCGGAACGUGCCCGAUCGUGGGGGAUAACGAGGCGAAAGCUUUGCUAAUACCGCAUACGAUCUACGGAUGAAAGCGGGGGAUCUUCGGACCUCGCGCGGACGGAGCGGCCGAUGGCAGAUUAGGUAGUUGGUGGGAUAAAAGCUUACCAAGCCGACGAUCUGUAGCUGGUCUGAGAGGAUGAUCAGCCACACUGGGACUGAGACACGGCCCAGACUCCUACGGGAGGCAGCAGUGGGGAAUUUUGGACAAUGGGCGAAAGCCUGAUCCAGCCAUGCCGCGUGCAGGAUGAAGGCCUUCGGGUUGUAAACUGCUUUUGUACGGAACGAAAAGCCUCUUUCUAAUAAAGAGGGGUCAUGACGGUACCGUAAGAAUAAGCACCGGCUAACUACGUG
rnacentral:rRNA from 1 species